rnacentral:rRNA from 1 species
AUUGAACGCUGGCGGCAGGCUUAACACAUGCAAGUCGAGCGGGGUGAUGGUGCUUGCACUAUCACUUAGCGGCGGACGGGUGAGUAAUGCUUAGGAAUCUGCCUAUUAGUGGGGGACAACAUCUCGAAAGGGAUGCUAAUACCGCAUACGUCCUACGGGAGAAAGCAGGGGAUCACUUGUGACCUUGCGCUAAUAGAUGAGCCUAAGUCGGAUUAGCUAGUUGGUGGGGUAAAGGCCUACCAAGGCGACGAUCUGUAGCGGGUCUGAGAGGAUGAUCCGCCACACUGGGACUGAGACACGGCCCAGACUCCUACGGGAGGUAGCAGGGGGGAAUAUUGGACAAUGGGGGGAACCCUGAUCCAGCCAUGCCGCGUGUGUGAAGAAGGCCUUAUGGUUGUAAAGCACUUUAAGCGAGGAGGAGGCUCUUUUGGUUAAUACCCAAGAUGAGUGGACGUUACUCGCAGAAUAAGCACCGGCUAACUCUGUGCCAGCCGCCGCGGUAA